GUGAGUAAUGCUUAGGAAUCUGCCUAUUAGUGGGGGACAACAUUUCGAAAGGAAUGCUAAUACCGCAUACGUCCUACGGGAGAAAGCAGGGGAUCUUCGGACCUUGCGCUAAUAGAUGAGCCUAAGUCGGAUUAGCUAGUUGGUGGGGUAAAGGCCUACCAAGGCGACGAUCUGUAGCGGGUCUGAGAGGAUGAUCCGCCACACUGGGACUGAGACACGGCCCAGACUCCUACGGGAGGCAGCAGUGGGGAAUAUUGGACAAUGGGCGCAAGCCUGAUCCAGCCAUGCCGCGUGUGUGAAGAAGGCCUUAUGGUUGUAAAGCACUUUAAGCGAGGAGGAGGCUACUUUAGAUAAUACCUAGAGAUAGUGGACGUUACUCGCAGAAUAAGCACCGGCUAACUCUGUGCCAGCAGCCGCGGUAAUACAGAGGGUGCAAGCGUUAAUCGGAUUUACUGGGCGUAAAGCGCGCGUAGGCGGCUAAUUAAGUCAAAUGUGAAAUCCCCGAGCUUAACUUGGGAAUUGCAUUCGAUACUGGUUAGCUAGAGUGUGGGAGAGGAUGGUAGAAUUCCAGGUGUAGCGGUGAAAUGCGUAGAGAUCUGGAGGAAUACCGAUGGCGAAGGCAGCCAUCUGGCCUAACACUGACGCUGAGGUGCGAAAGCAUGGGGAGCAAACAGGAUUAGAUACCCUGGUAGUCCAUGCCGUAAACGAUGUCUACUAGCCGUUGGGGCCUUUGAGGCUUUAGUGGCGCAGCUAACGCGAUAAGUAGACCGCCUGGGGAGUACGGUCGCAAGACUAAAACUCAAAUGAAUUGACGGGGGCCCGCACAAGCGGUGGAGCAUGUGGUUUAAUUCGAUGCAACGCGAAGAACCUUACCUGGCCUUGACAUAGUAAGAACUUUCCAGAGAUGGAUUGGUGCCUUCGGGAACUUACAUACAGGUGCUGCAUGGCUGUCGUCAGCUCGUGUCGUGAGAUGUUGGGUUAAGUCCCGCAACGAGCGCAACCCUUUUCCUUAUUUGCCAGCGAGUAAUGUCGGGAACUUUAAGGAUACUGCCAGUGACAAACUGGAGGAAGGCGGGGACGACGUCAAGUCAUCAUGGCCCUUACGGCCAGGGCUACACACGUGCUACAAUGGUCGGUACAAAGGGUUGCUACCUAGCGAUAGGAUGCUAAUCUCAAAAAGCCGAUCGUAGUCCGGAUUGGAGUCUGCAACUCGACUCCAUGAAGUCGGAAUCGCUAGUA
rnacentral:rRNA from 1 species